CCAGCCCCAGCCAGCACCACCCUCGCAGUUGUAGACACUACACCACCCAGCAGGCCAGCACCAUCCAGCGGCACCCCAACGCCACCAACAGGACCGAUCCGGCCACCCGCAGCACCGUUUGUGGCCACCCAUAGUAGUACUGCUGCGUUUCUGGCCUGGCCACCCACAACACAGCAGCCACCGGUUGGCCCUCUUCCAGUGCUCUUCCUCCUUCCUAUCCACUUGACUUAAGCUUCAGAUGCUUGCGAAUCUUAAGGAGGAAAGUCCCGACACAGUUCACAGAGUGAAGAAAUAACUAAUAAGCACCUUGAUUUCAUUGCCAUGUCUUAUGUAUGUUAAGUAAUUUCUUUUACAAUAGCACUAGGUAUUGAAGUUAAAGUAGAAGCCAGGUAUAUUUGUUCUACAAUUGUCUGUGUACUAGCGUCGUUACUUUUAGAACAAUAACAAUCCCCUAAUCCAGUCUUAUUUUCUCAUUUGGGGUCCUAUCCUACAAAUCGUUUUCCCAUUGAAGCAAUGAAAUUGGACCAACGCUGCAACGCAUAGUUAUAUAAUUUAA